ACCUACGGGGGGCAGCAGUAGGGAAUCUUCCACAAUGGACGAAAGUCUGAUGGAGCAACGCCGCGUGAGUGAAGAAGGGUUUCGGCUCGUAAAGCUCUGUUGGUAGUGAAGAAAGAUAGAGGUAGUAACUGGCCUUUAUUUGACGGUAAUUACUUAGAAAGUCACGGCUAACUACGUGCCAGCAGCCGCGGUAAUACGUAGGUGGCAAGCGUUGUCCGGAUUUAUUGGGCGUAAAGCGAGUGCAGGCGGGUUCAUAAAUUUGGUGUGGAAUGCUUCUG
rnacentral:rRNA from 1 species